rnacentral:lncRNA from 1 species
UAAUACUUUAUCGUUUCCAGCCUGCACGUCGGAGCGCCGAAAGCGAAGAAUAGAAGUAACUCGUCAAUAAGCACUGGAUUAGUGUUUGUCUGUCCAUUGAACGAUUUGGAUAGACAUAACGUUACCUGCGCACCGUUAAUCACAAAUAUGCGUAUUACAAGAAAUUUCUAUGUAGACGACAUGUGGUUUGGCGCGACCAUGGGAGUAGUAAAGAAAGGAAAGUUAUGGAGCAAAUUAUUCAAACGGCUGACUAAUAAAUGUUAGAUUAAAAAAGUUAGACAUGAAUAGUACCAU